AGUAGCGAACGGGCGAGUAACGCGUGGGUAACCUGCCUUAUAGCGGGGGAUAACUAUUGGAAACGAUAGCUAAUACCGCAUAACAAUAGAGAUUGCAUAAUCUUUAUUUGAAAGUGCCAACUGGUACACUAUGAGAUGGACCCGCGUUGUAUUAGCUAGUUGGUAGUGUAAUGGACUAUCAAGGCGAUGAUACAUAGCCGACCUGAGAGGGUGAUCGGCCACAUUGGGACUGAGACACGGCCCAAACUCCUACGGGAGGCAGCAGUAGGGAAUCUUCGGCAAUGGACGAAAGUCUGACCGAGCAACGCCGCGUGAGUGAUGAAGGCCUUCGGGUCGUAAAGCUCUUUGAUCAGGGAUGAUAAUGACAGUACCUGAAAAACAAGCCACGGCUAACUACGUGCCAGCAGCCGCGGUAAUACGUAGGUGGCGAGCGUUGUCCGGAAUUACUGGGCGUAAAGGAUGCGUAGGUGGAUACUUAAGUGGGAUGUGAAAUCCCCGGGCUCAACCCGGGAACUGCAUUCCAAACUGGGUAUCUAGAGUGCAGGAGAGGAAAGCGGAAUUCCUAGUGUAGCGGUGAAAUGCGUAGAUAUUAGGAGGAACACCAGUGGCGAAGGCGGCUUUCUGGACUGUAACUGACACUGAGGCAUGAAAGCGUGGGUAGCAAACAGGAUUAGAUACCCUGGUAGUCCACGCC
rnacentral:rRNA from 1 species